rnacentral:rRNA from 1 species
GACGAACGCUGGCGGCGUGCUUAACACAUGCAAGUCGAACGGAAAGGCCCUUUUGGGGGUACUUGAGUGGCGGACGGGUGAGUAACACGUAAGUAACCUGCCCUAGCCUUCGUUUUGACUUCCGUAAAGUAGGGCUAAUACCGGAUAGAAAGCCUUUCUGCCUGGUGGGUGUGGGAAGGCUUCUGGGGGUUUGGGUGGACGCGCGGCCUAUUAGCUUGUUGGUGGGGUGGUGGGUUACCAACGCAUUGACGGGUAGACGGCCUGCGAGGGCGAGCGGCCACAUUGGGACUGAGAUAAGGCCCAGACUCCUACGGGAGGCAGCAGGGGGGAAUAUUGCACCAUGGGCGGAAGCCUGAUGCAGCAACGCCGCGGGCGGGAAGACGGCCUUCGGGUUGUAAACCGGCUUCAGCAGGGGAGAAGGUUGUGGUGACGGUACCUGCAGAAGAAGCACCGGCUAACUACGUG